CCUACGGAGUGCAGCAGUGGGGGAUAUUGCACAAUGGGGGAAACCCUGAUGCAGCGACACCGCGUGUGGGAAGACGGUCUUCUGGAUUGUAAACCACUGUCCCCAGGGACGAAAAUGACGGUACCUGGGGAGGAAGCUCCGGCUAACUACGUGCCAGCAGCCGCGGUAAUACGUAGGGAGCAAGCGUUGUCCGGAAUUACUGGGUGUAAAGGGAGCGUAGGCGGGGAUGCAAGUUGGGUGUCAAAACUACCGGCUCAACCGAUAGUCGCACUCAAAACUGCAACUCUUGAGUGAAGUAGAGGCAGGCGGAAUUCCUAGUGUAGCGGUGAAAUGCGUAGAUAUUAGGAGGAACACCAGUGGCGAAGGCGGCCUGCUGGGCUUUUACUGACGCUGAGGCUCGAAAGUGUGGGGAGCAAACAGGAUUAGAUACCCUUGUAGUC
rnacentral:rRNA from 1 species